rnacentral:rRNA from 1 species
AUGAAGUUGACAAUAUCGAGAUCUGGUGACCACGCGGAAGAUCCCCGUCCGAUGUGCCACAAAGUGUCGGUCUUAUCGCUUGCGGCGGCCCGAUUCAUCGGCUCAAAAAGCAUCUUCGUAUGUGUUGGUGCUCUCCUAGAUCUUGGUAUGCCAGAUGUUCUCCUAUUUUUUUGGCGUUGCCAUGGUGGCAGAGGAGGAGUUUAUGGACUACUUUUCGGCGAGGCACAAGUUUCACCAAGGGUGUAAUAGUAAUUUUACCUCUUACGAAAUUCCUUGUCCAAAGUUGGUUGA